rnacentral:rRNA from 1 species
GACGUAGGGUCCAAGCGUUGUCCGGAUUUACUGGGCGUAAAGAGCGUGUAGGCGGUCUGUUAAGUGUGAAGCUAAAUCUCCGGGCUCAACCCGGAAACUAUUUCGCAUACUGGCAGACUUGAGGAAUGCAGAGGUAAGUGGAAUUCCUGGUGUAGCGGUGAAAUGCGUUGAUAUCAGGAGGAACACCCAUGGCGAAGGCAGCUUACUGGGCAUUAUCUGACGCUGAGACGCGAAAGCGUGGGUAGCAAACAGGAUUAGAUACCCUGGUAGUCCACGCCCUAAACGAUGGAUACUAGGCGUAAGAGGUAUCGACCCCUCUUGUGCCGCAGCUAACGCAUUAAGUAUCCCGCCUGGGGAGUACGGCCGCAAGGUUGAA